UCCCAGGCUGCAGUGCAGUGGUGUGUUCACUUUGAAUGAAGACCAGAGAUCCUCAAUCCUAGGACAUUUUUGCAUGUUAUUUCUUUAUUAUUUCCUUUCUUCUAUUUUCUUGUUUCACACAGAACUCGAUUUCUCUUUGAAUGCUAGACUUCCUAAACUGAUUGUCUAUAGUUAUUAUGUUCCCCUCUUAAUUUUCAGUUCUUUAUCUUUUUUGCCCCACUGUCUUAGAGAUUCCUUCAACUUUAUCUUUCAGUCCUGCUAAUAGGCUACCCAUUUCUCCUAUCAUAUACUUAAUUCCCCAAAUUUCUCUCUUAUUCUCCAUUUAUUUUCUCUUUCUAAAGAAUUCUGUUCUUCCUACACAAAGAAAAAACGUUUGGUAAACUCUUUGAUGAUGUUAAUAAUGUAUGUUUUCAAUUACCAUCUUCCUGCAUAGACUCUGUGUCCUCUAUCUUUUUUUUUUUCUUUUUCUACAAUUCAAGAUGAGAUUUGUGGGUGGACACAGCCAAACCAUAUCAGGUGUCUUCUCUUGGGCUGAUCAGAUUUCCCAGAGCAGAAUCCUUGAAUCUGUACCUGAAAGCUACAGAUCUGUCUACCUGUCCUCUGCAGGUGAAGAGGGCUGGGGCAGUCUCAAUAUGCAGCUCAUAAAAUUGCCUUUAUUUCCUGUUUUCUGUGUG
rnacentral:lncRNA from 1 species